GGGCUGCUCCAUCCCCGGCUCUCCGACUCCUUGCCUGGCACCUUCCUCGUUGGAGGCCGUGAUCCAUCAACUUUGUCCACGCGUGUCCUGCAGACUAAUGCUGACUGGAGGUUCAGGAGUGGUCAGAAGAGGCCAGAGGAGGCCCUCGUGAUGCGAAGCUAAACGUUUAAUGAUGGCGCUGUUGAGUGCAUGAGCCGCGUCAGCCCAAGAGUCUGGUGCCCAGGAGGCUGAUGCCACAUAGAAGACCUGCAGGUCGGUGGAUGUGAAACAGGCAUCGGACACGCUGUGCACCUUGGGACGCAUCUGAGAAGUGUGUGCUUGCAGCAGAUCUGAGAUUCUGUGUCCAAAAACUUACCCGUGGACAUUGAGGGUGAUGCAUUUCUGCUCGAAGACAUCUGUGGACUCAGCUGGAGGGAUCGAAAGGAUGUGGAGCCUCUUCACUCCUGGCCUGGGCUUGGACCUGCUGUGCAGCCUCUCAGUGGCACCAGGGCCCCCUUGUGUCACAGUGGCCUCGGAGAUGCGAGUGACUUCUGCUCAGUGAGAGGCUCAUCUCAGGGACUUCAUGGCCUGAGGGACGGCAGCCUGUUUGAGCUGAUCGAGCAAUCUCGCGCUACCCUUAUUUUCUGAAACGCCUAUGAGUGACUUCUCACACGGUCUUUGAAGCGGCUUCAUGCCCGCGCUCCUUGGAAUUUCUGAAGCUGCUGAGUGUAGAAAGCACUGAGGAGGCUGUGCUCCCACCCCUGUGAGUCUUCCAGGCAUCAUCCUCUCCCCUUGGCGAGGCGGCGUCCAUGGCACACCGAGGAGGCUGUGCUCCUGUCCCCCUUUUCUUUGCAUCGUCUCCCUUAUCCAGAAGUGAGGGUGAACGCUGAGUUAUUCACGGGAGUCAAGAAACCACACGCAGCCCAAAGUGACGUUUGUUUCCCUGAAAUGAUUUGUGUGUGUUCACCUUAAAAUGCAAUCAGUAAAACAGGUGUGUUUUGAGGAAUGACUUUAAAUUACUCAGGUGAAAAUGUGACAGUUAAAUUUCAUCAUCUGUGCGGGUGUCCACAACCCCCUUCUGUGAUUGCGUGUGAGUUUGUGACUUGUGGUUAUUUUUGAAGAAAGAAAAUCUGUUGCUGAGGACUUCAGAUGGUGUGCUGGGAUUGUGUAGGGUGGACAUCGGGGGCUUCAGUGUGUGGCUUCCUUGAAGAGGUUCAAAUUAAGGCUGAGAGUCCCUACUCCAAAAUGCUCCAAAACCUGAAACAUUCUGAGCUUCCUCAUGACACUCGAAGGAAAUGCUCUUCGGAGCACUUUGGAUUUCAGGCUGGGGAUGGUCAACUGGAAAGUGAAAUAUUGCAAGACCCUUCUGGCCCCAGGAGCUUGGAUAAGGUCAUGGAGGGGGCCUGUGCCGGGUGUCCCUGGAGUGUGAGGCAGCCUGGGCUCUCUGAACUGGUUUUUGUAGGAGCCACAGAAGGGAAAGA